CCUACGGGUGGCAGCAGUGGGGAAUAUUGCACAAUGGGGGAAACCCUGAUGCAGCGACGCCGCGUGAGUGAAGAAGUAUUUCGGUAUGUAAAGCUCUAUCAGCAGGGAAGAAGCAAGACGGUACCUGACUAAGAAGCCCCGGCUAACUACGUGCCAGCAGCCGCGGUAAUACGUAGGGGGCAAGCGUUAUACGGAUUUACUGGGUGUAAAGGGAGCGUAAGCGGUAUGGCAAGUCUGAAGUGAAAGCCCAGGGCUUAACCCUGGGACUGCUUUGGAAACUGUUAGACUUGAGUGCUGGAGAGGUAAGUGGAAUUCCUGGUGUAGCGGUGAAAUGCGUAGAUAUUAGGAGGAACACCAGUGGCGAAGGCGACUUACUGGACAGUAACUGACGUUGAGGCUCGAAAGCGUGGGGAGCAAACAGGAUUAGAUACCCGAGUAGUC
rnacentral:rRNA from 1 species